CAGGGGUGGCCCUGGAGCCUUCAGGUGGCUUCUUGGUUAACUGGGGUCUGGCCGCUGACGCUGUAGGGCUGCGAGAUGAGGCUGAGGAGGACAGCGUGUGGCUGCUCGUGGGCUGCAUACAGAUCUCAGAUGUCCUUGCUUGACCGAGUGUGGCUCCUGUCCCUGUGGCUGAGCAACAGUGAAGGAAUGAGUCUCCUGUGCACGGGAGGGACAGCAGAUGGCAGGUCAGACCACUGAGCACCGGAGAGGCUGCAUGUGAG
rnacentral:lncRNA from 1 species